GAUGAACGCUGGCGGCGUGCCUAAUACAUGCAAGUCGAGCGAACAGACGAGGAGCUUGCUCCUUCGACGUUAGCGGCGGACGGGUGAGUAACACGUAGGUAACCUACCUAUAAGACUGGGAUAACUUCGGGAAACCGGAGCUAAUACCGGAUAAUAUUUCGAACCGCAUGGUUCGAUAGUGAAAGAUGGCUUUGCUAUCACUUAUAGAUGGACCUGCGCCGUAUUAGCUAGUUGGUAAGGUAACGGCUUACCAAGGCAACGAUACGUAGCCGACCUGAGAGGGUGAGCGGCCACACUGGGAGUGAGACACGGUCCAGACUCCUACGGGAGGCAGCAGUAGGGAAUCUUCCGCAAAGGGCGAAAGCCUGACGGAGCAACGCCGAGUGAGUGAUGAAGGUCUUCGGAUCGUAAAACUCUGUUAUUAGGGAAGAACAAACGUGUAAGUAACUGUGCACGUCUUGACGGUACCUAAUCAGAAAGCCACGGCUAACUACGUG
rnacentral:rRNA from 1 species